rnacentral:lncRNA from 1 species
AUGUUUGAAAUUGUUAAAUUAAUAAAAAGGAACUUAAUUUCCAACAAGCACACACUACAAAAAAAGUGUCAUUAUUUUUUGUCAUUAUUUUUAAUCAAGAUAGCAACAAAACUAAAAAUUAUUCCAUGGAACCAAAUGGGAACCGAGGUCUACAGGCUAUGACCUAUGUCUAUUUUAUGUUAAAAACAAUGUACAUUCACUGAGUAUACUGCAGAAGAUAAAAUGCUAUUAAAAUGAAAAGCAAUCGGCAUGCAAGAUAAGGGUAACUGGAGGAAGCACAAACCAAUCCUCAUUUUGCACUGUAGCAAAGGUUACUUCCAUGUACAGGGAGCAGGGGCUGUUCCCCACUCCUUCAUUAGUGCUCAGAACAAAGCGGGGCCCAGAGUGCGCGUUUCAUAGUAUUUGUUGAAUGAAUGAAGCCUGCAUCCCAAGGCAGGCUGGUAAGUGGCUGUCGCCCCAAAGCAUGUCUGCUGCCUUUUCAGCAGUCUAGGCUGGCAUCCUCUCAUUUCCCCCGCUUUCCAGCAGUAAGGAGUCCUUGUGCACCCCUCUCUCAGGGUGGCCAAAAGGCUGUCCCCAAGCCGCGCCACCCACAGUCUUUGCGAAACAACCAACCUGGUCACCCUCGCCUCCCAGUGCAGACGCCUCAGUGCCAACUCGGGCUCUGCCUGACACCAUGGGGAAAAAGAAAACGCCAAACGCCCAGUACGACCCAGUGCAAGGAAAGCCAGCCAUGCUGA